rnacentral:rRNA from 1 species
UACGGAGGGUGCAAACGUUGCUCGGAAUCAUUGGGCGUAAAGCGCACGUAGGCGGAUUUGUUAGUCAGGGGUGAAAUCCCGGGGCUCAACCUCGGAACUGCCUUUGAUACUGCAAGUCUCGAGUCCGGAAGAGGUGAGUGGAAUUCCUAGUGUAGAGGUGAAAUUCGUAGAUAUUAGGAAGAACACCAGUGGCGAAGGCGGCUCACUGGUCCGGUACUGACGCUGAGGUGCGAAAGCGUGGGGAGCAAACAGG